UACGUAGGGGGCAAGCGUUAUCCGGAAUUACUGGGUGUAAAGGGAGAGUAGGCGGCAUGGUAAGUUAGAUGUGAAAGCCCGGGGCUUAACCUCGGGAUUGCAUUUAAAACUAUCAAGCUAGAGUACAGGAGAGGUAAGUGGAAUUCCUAGUGUAGCGGUGAAAUGCGUAGAUAUUAGGAAGAACAUCAGUGGCGAAGGCGACUUACUGGACUGAAACUGACGCUGAGGCUCGAAAGCGUGGGGAGCGAACAGGAUUAGAUACCCUGGUAGUCCACGCCGUAAACGAUGAGUGCUAGGUGUCGGGGGGGAACCCUCGGUGCCGCAGCUAACGCAAUAAGCACUCCACCUGGGGAGUACGACCGCAAGGUUGAA
rnacentral:rRNA from 1 species